AACGCGAAGAACCUUACCUGGGUUUGACAUCCCUCGACAGCCGUAGAGAUACGGUUUUGGUAGCAAUACCACGGGGAGACAGGUGCUGCAUGGCUGUCGUCAGCUCGUGUGGUGACAUGUUGGGUUAAGUCCCGCAACGAGCGCAACCCUUGUCCUUAGUUGCCAGCAUUCAGUUGGGCUCUCUAAGGAGACUGCCGUGGUGAACACGGAGGAAGGUGGGGAUGACGUCAAGUCCUCAUGGCCUUUAUAUCCAGGGCGACACACGUGAUACAAUGGCCGGUACAGAGGGAAGCUAAAGCGCAAGCUGGAGCCAAUCUCAAAAAGCCGGUCUCAGUUCGGAUUGGAGUCUGCAACUCGACUCCAUGAAGUUGGAAUCGCUAGUAAUCGCGGAUCAGCACGCCGCGGUGAAUACGUUCCCGGGCCUUGUACACACCGAUAGC
rnacentral:rRNA from 1 species